rnacentral:lncRNA from 1 species
AUUUAAAAGGGAGUUCUGUUUUCUCCCAUCCUUCAGGUUAUAUUUGCUUUGGACCAGACCCUCCUGCAGCAGAAGAGCCUGUGAGCAGGCAGCCUAGGACAGGCCUUUUGCUGUGGACCAUCAAGUGGAGCCAAGUGACUUGUCAGAUCUCAGAUGACCUCUAUCAUGAACCAUCUCAUUAUACUCUAUAACUGUGGCGACCUCAGCUCUGUCAUCUUCAGCCAUAGCAGCUCCCAGGUGAGUGGCCUUGCCUUCUGUUGAGAUGAGGAACAAAGAUAUCACCCACAGGCAUCUGGGUGUACUAAGGACAGGUGUCAUGUAGGGCUCUAAAAAUAAAAUUGGCAGAUUUAGAUGUCAUUGAAUGAGAUACUUCAGCUAAUGAGCAUUCUUUUUGAAGCUUCUAAGAAUGGAGAGGGGUAUUAAUCAGGACUAAUUCCAAGAUUGCAGUUACAGGGUGAAGCUUCAGAAGGUUCAGCAGCAGGCCCCAUGAAUCAGCUGUCAGGGAGAGGAAGGGAUCCAAAUCCAUUGGCCUCUUGAUCGACUUGACACUUUUGAGAAAUGAUGGAGCAAAACUUGUGAUCCUCCUGUCUGAGUGUCUGGAGGAGCUGGUAUUACAGGUAUGCACACUGAACCUAGAAUGCUUGUGGAAUUCUUAUGGGGCACUUCCAGUGUUUACAGAUAGAUCAUUCUAUCCUGCAUUAUUACUGAAUAAGUGUGGCCAUGUUGUGGUGGUGUCAGUGUAUGCCUAGGACAGGCCUUUUGCUGAGGACCAUCAAGGGGAGCCAAGUGACUUGUCAGGUCUCAGAGGAUCUCAGCCCCCCAACAGGAGAAAGGUGAGACAGAUGUUUACUAGGCUUUUUGAGCAAGCUGCCAUGGAACUCUGGAACAUUCUCUUCCCCUCUCUUCACCCCCCCCCCCGCCCCAGAAUCUUGUGGAAGUAAGUGGCCAGUGCCAACUCAGCUUCUGAAAUAGUGGAGUGUGUUGUCUCUCCCCUCUAGGACCAGUGUCCUCAUCUCAUGAAAUAUUUGCCCAAGAGAGAGAAAUAGGAAGUAGAGAAAUAAUGAAAAUGUUAAAUGUAUAAAAUUUAUAAAACAGGUAAAUGUUUAUUGAAAUGUUUUUGGAUUCACUAGAGAAAAGAUAGCCUAUUUUCUCUAUGGUGCUGAAAAAAUUGGAUAUACACAUGUAACAAAAUAAAAUUAAACUCCUCUCUCUCAACCUGUGCAAAACUCAACUCAAAGUGGAUCAAAGAGUUAGGCCCUAGACUAGAGACCCUGCACCUACCUAGUAGAAGAAAAAGUAGGCCCAAAUCUUCAAUAUGUUGGCUUAGGAUCUGACUUCCUUAACAAGAUCCCUAAAGUAUAAGAAGGAAAAUCAAGAAUCAAUGAAUGGGAUGGAUUCAAACUAAAAAGCUUCCUCUUAGCAAAGGAAACAACCAAUAACAUGAAGAGAGAGCCUACAGAAUGGGAGAAAAUCUUUAUCACAUGCACCUCAGAUAGAGCAUUAAUCUCCCGGAUAUAUAAAGGACUCAAAAUACUUAACACUAAAAACCCAAAUAACCUAAUCAAUAAAUGGGCUAAGGAACAGAACACACACUUCACAGAAGAAAUACAAUCGAUCAACAAAUAUAUGAAAAAAUGUUCAAUAUCUUUAGCAAUUAGAGAAAUGCAAAUCAGAACUACUCUAAGAUUUCAUUUCCCUGGGUCAAAAUGGCAAUUAUCAAGAAUACAAAUAACAAUAAAUGUUGGCCAGGAUGUGGGGAAAAAGGCCUACUCAUACAUUGCUGGUGAGAAUGCAAAUUGGUACAACCAUUAUGGAAAGUGGUAUGGUUCCUCAGAAAACUUGGAAUAGAACUACCAUUUGAUCCAGCUACCCUGCUUCUUGGUUUAUACCCAAAGGACUUAAAAUCAGCAUAUUACAAUGAUGCAGCCAUAUCAAUGUUCAUAGAAGAUUAACUCACAAUAUCUAAACUAUGCAACGAACCUAGGUGCCCUUCAGUAGAUGAAUGAAUAAAAAAGUGAGUGUGUGUGUGUGUGUGUGUGUGUGUGUAUAUAUAUAUAUAUAUAUAUAUAUAUAUAUAUAUGAAUAAAUAUUACUCAGCCUUAGAUGAAAUUAUGGCAUUUGCUGGUAAAUGGAUGGAACUGGAAAAUAUCACCCUAAGUGAAAUAAACCAAUACCCAAACACCAAAGGCCAAAUGUUUUCUGAUAUGCUGAUGCAUAUCAAUGUGGGGAGCUAAGGAAGAGGAGAGUACUUUAUGUAGAGGGGAAUGAAGGGAGGGGAGUGGAUAUGGGGAUAGAAAGGAUAGUAGAAUGAAUCAGACACUAUUACCCUAUGUACAUAUAUAAUUCUAUAUCAUAUAUAACCAAAAGAAUGAGAAAUUAUACUCCAUUAUAUAUGAUGUAUCAAAAUGCAUUCUACUGUCAUGUAUAACUAAUUAAAACAAAAAUUAGUUUUAAAAAAGAAACACCAUGCUUUGGGUAGUGCAAUCAAAAUUAUUAAUUCUAAGAUAUGUAAUCAUGUAACAUUUCUUUUAUGAAAAAAGUGUGAAUCAAGUUAAAACUGUGCAUGGACUAUACAAAGAUAUGGUCUGUAAUACAUACAUAGCACCAAACACAAUCUUUUAAGUGGAAUGGAAGUAUUAUUUUAAACCUAAGAGUUUUAAGCCUUUUUAUUAUUAUUUUAAGGCUUUUCAGUGAACUUCACUUAAUAUUCUUUCACUUUGGUUAUAGUCAGAAGCGUAGCAGACAGGAGACAUCAAGAAUAGUGUGUCCCCCCUCACCCUUCUCUUAACUUGUCAUCCAGGCUGCAGGAUUAGAUGCUUAAAUGAAGCAACUUUGUUAGUUACCCUGUUGCCCUUGUUUUCUUUUUCUUUUUCUUGUGGUAGAGGUUUCCAAUUUCAUAAAUGCCAUGCUCCAGCCUCAGGAACACAUCACUGCUCAGGAGAUCAACAGCCACUUCUGUCAAGAGCUGAUCUACAAGUGGAAUGAGAGAAUGGAGGAGCAAGGGAAGGCACUUUCGGAGGAGUUCCCUGACAAGGGCUUUUUCUUUGUUUUCCGAGCUGGCAGCCUCUGAUUAGAUACUCUGGGAUCUGCCGCCUCUGUGGGGGGAAUGUUGAGGCAAAGCCCCUACUCAGGACCUGUGUUGACAUCAGUAGUGACUCACUUCAGUUGCAGAGUAGCUCCAGCUGGUGCUGGGAAUCCAAUGUGGUGGAAAUGUUGCUGGAGGGCCCAGUGUAUGUGACAUUAUUCAUUGCUUUCCCUCCACACAGGGGCUUAGUGACAUAUGAGUCAGUUGGGAAGGCAUCUCUCUGUCCUGAACUCAGCACUCAAUCCCAGCUUCUUUCUGAUACCUUUUGUUUUUUAAACUGUCACUAAUGUUUGUUUAUCUUCAUUCCCCUUCCUGUGAGCCUCCCAAUGUUAGGUUGACACAUAAGCCAUUGAUAAAUAUUAAUAUACACAUGGAGGGGGGGAAAUUAUUUCCUUUUCUGGGCUUUUUGAAAUAAUUUCUAUCCUGCUUUUGAGUGAUUUUUAACCCAUAAUUCUUUGGAGCCUGAGAAAUGAAGGACAGAAAAGCCAGAGGCUGGGCAGUGUGCAGAAGGACUAGGUUUUGUCCUUUCAGAUCCUUCCACUGUUUUUGUGUGUCAGUCAGCUUCCCAUUGCUGUAACAAAUGCCUGAGACAAAUCAAAAGAAUUAUUUGAUUCACAAUUUCAAAGGUUUCGGUCCAUGAUUACUUGGCUUACUUGCUUUUAGGCCUGUGGUGAGACAGUAUAUCAUGUAUGGCAGACAUACGUGGUGGAGGAAACUGCUCACCUCAUGACAGCUGGUAGGAAAAUAGAAAGAGGAAGAGUGUAGGGUCCCAGUAUUUCCCCUAAUGAAAACCCCAAUGACCUAACUUCCGUUUACUGGGCCCCACCUCUUAAAGAGUCCAACCUCCUCUCAGUGGUGUCACCUACUGGGGACAACACAUAAGCCUUUGGGGCACAUUUAAGAUCCAAACCAUAACUCUUCAUUAAUUUGGACAAGUCACCUUUCUCAGUUUCUUUACCAGCAAAAUGUGAGUUUAGAGAUUAACACUUGCAGAAUAACAGAGUAAAGGCUGCUCCAAACAUGCUCCUCCAUAAAAGGCAAUAAGAACACUAGGAAAAAAUGGUCAAUAUCAACUUUUACAGAGCUCUAGAAAUUAAAUAAAGGCUUGAAACAGCCCAGGGUAUGUUUACUUAAGAAAACUAGAGAUUAGUGGCAUUUAACUUGCUCUAUUUUAUCCUCUUUGUCCCAGCUUCUUCCUAGCUUUGUCUUGAAAAUCCACAACCUUUAAACUCAGAAGCCAUAACAACUGGUUGCUUAAUAAUUACUGGAGGGGAGAUAAUGGGUUUGGAGUUUCCCUGAGGCUCCAUCCUUGAAGAAUCAUUAUUAUUUAAUUUAUCUCAUAGUUCCCUAAAAGUUUCAUUCCAAGCUUAUGUUCAUUUGACCUGACUCAAAGCUCUUUCUCUACAUAGCCAUAUUCUUAGGGGGUUUGUUGAAAAUAGUCAGUGGUAGUGGCAGUAGUCAUAGCUGCCCAUGACAGCAAUAAUUGGGGCUUACAACAGACUGACCUCCCCCCCCGCAAAGAAAAAGCAAAAUGGAUAUGAGAUGUACCAUAUGGGAUUUUGAAAAGUUCUCACAUAUUAUUGGGAAUCUCAAGGGCCAAGUGUAAGAGAAAGGCUAUGUACAUGCCCAGGAAAGACCUCAGAAGGUCCUAAUCUCUCACGUCUGUCUGCACAGAAGAAAAACUAAGGCAGGGUUGUAAACUGCCUGCUGGAGCAUUGAAGGCAUGCUCCAAACUCAUAUAGCCUCUCUUUGAAGAGGCUGGGAGACUUACUGGUUGAAUAUGUUUAAGGAAAUCUCUGAACAGUCAUUAGCUGACCACUAAACUAACUGACUAGAGACUCCAGUGGCCACACCUAUCAAAGAAUCCUGACUUUACAGAAAGUCCUAAGUGACUAAACAAACAAACAAACAAAUGGCAAAAUAAAAAUAACAACAGCAGAUAAACAAUGAUGUACCCUGGGAAGAAGGGUUGGCUUCAUCUAAGUUCCCAGAUUUGUGGAUCUAAAGUUGUUCAUCAUAUUCUUUUAUUAUCCUUUUACUAUUCCUGGGAUCAGUAGUGAUGAUUCCUCUUUUACUUCCAAUAUUAGCAAUUUGUGUCUUCUCUCUUCCCCUUGUUAGCCUGACUAGAGGUUUAUUAAUUAUAUUGAUCUUUUCAAAGAACCAGUUUUUGGUUUUGUUGACUUUCUGUAUUGAUUUCAUGGUUUUAUUUUCAUGAUUACUGCUUUAAUUUUUCUUAUUUCCUUUCUGCUUGAUUUAUCCUUAAAUUACUCUUCUUUCUGUAGUUUUUGAAGGUGAAACUAGAGUUUUGAGAUGAAUCUUGAUCCACUGCUUCUGCUGCCAGGUGGGGUCUGCACAAGCUGUAGGCCCCUGCGGCCUAGAAGUGUUGCAGUUCUUAAUGGUGGGCCAUGCCCUCCAAUGUUGCAGCAGACCCCAGCAGUUCAUCAUCUAUUUCUUCUUCUUUCAGGGUUCUUGUCUCGUGAAUUUGAAGAAUGAAUGCCACUGAUCAGGACGAGUGAGUGUAAUGUAGGAACAGCACUCUUGCAGUGCAAGGGGGGACCCAAUAGCAGGUGUUCUCUACUGGAGUGUGCUAGUGUAGGGGUUUGUAUAGCACUUGAUUCAGUGCUAUUAGUCCAAACUUAUGCUAAUUAGGACUUGGAAACAUAGUAACACUAUUGGUCAAUUUUUUUUUUAAAUAUUUAUUUUUUAGUUUUCGGUGGACACAACAUCUUUGUUUGUAUGUGGUGCUGAGGAUCGAACCCGGGCCGCACGCAUGCCAGGCGAGCGCACUACCGCCUGAGCCAUAUCCUCAGCCCACUAUUGGUCAUUUUUUGAGUCCCAACUUCCAUUCAAGUUUGCCCAUUUCCAUUUUUUUGUGGCAGGUCAGGGAACGGGAUUUUAAGGCUCUGAGAUGGGGCUGCAGCACCUCACAGAGUGUUCUUCUGCAGCAUCCUCACUGUGUGCGGCCAUGCUGAUGCUGGGGUGACAGGUCAGCGUGGCUUGGCUCAUCUUGGUGCUGGCUCAUUGCACCUCAGGUCUACCCUGCCUAUAUGAUGGGCUCCAUGCUGCUACUGUGCUGCUCCAUACUCCACUGCCACUUUUUGGCAGAGACCAAUAGGCUGGCUGCACUGCAUGGCAGCCAGGGAGCUCUGUCAAAGGUACAAACUUAUAUUUGUCCAUUGUCAACCAACACUGGCUUCAUGAAUGAAGGUUCAAAACGUGAGAAAUCUCUAAGGAGUUUUGAAUUAAAGAGACAAGACUCUAAUUACCUUUAAACCAGCUCCAGGAUGGCUCCUCCUAGGUCCAGCCUUCAGCCACCCAUUGUGGUAGCGAGGUUUACUAAAGAGGGGGGAGAGAGAGAGAGAGAGAGAGAGAGAGAGAGAGAGAGAGAGAGAGAGAGAGAGAGAGAGAACACGCCAUGGAGUGGACUUUUAUUGGGGAACAAAAAAUUCUGGGGAAAAUCCCAUCCAAUGAAGAUUAAGGGGGGCCGCAUCCCAAGGUCAGGGGCAAUGAUUGGGUCUUCAGGGUAGUGGCCAGACAUGCCUCCGAACAGACAAGCCUUCGGAACCUGAGAAGGAUGGGGAAAGCUUUGGACAUAGCUGUGCCUAAGCGCCUCUCACCCAGCCAGGGAGGUAACUCAAAUCACGUGCGAGGAUGGCCUCCCACACUUGAAGAUAUUGGUGGUAUUAUAGCAACUUAUAUCUCUCAAAAUUCUUUUCUGUGUGGGUUCUCUCCUCAAGGUAACACAUUUUAUAAGAUUAUAUCACUUUAUUUUUAUUAGUCAUUUUUUUUUUUUUUUUGCAGUGCUGAGGGUUGAACCAGUGGUGCUCUACCACAGAGUCUUGUCCCCAAAUCUUUUAAUUUAUUUCUUUUUUAUUUGGAGACUGGGUCUUGCCAGGUUGUCCAAGCUAGCCUUGAAUUAAAAAGGAAGAAAGCCAUUUUCCCCCCUCUGUCAAAUCUCUUUAUGAAGAUAAGAAAAAACAUCUCAGGGAUGAAAGAAUUUCCUUUAUGUUUUUAAAAGAAUAGAGAAAUGACUUGUCUGCCCUUUCAGAAGCUGGGAGAGUUUCUUGUUGUUCUCCAUAGAUGUCACCAAACUAUCUUUGUGAGUAGGUAUAGGCAUUAGCACAUGUCACCUGUUCAGUUCAGGCACAGAGUUGUAGGUGUCUCAUGAGAUUGGCCUGUAGCAGAGAGUUAAGGGUGUAGGGUUUGGGGCUGGGGUUGUGGCUCAGUGGUAGAGUGCUUGCCUAGCACACAUGAGGUGCUGGAUUCAAUCCUCAGUAUCACAUUAAAACAAAAAAAAACUAAAUAAACAAAAUAAAGCUAUUGUGAACAUCUACAACUAAAAUUUUUUUUAAAAGCAUGUGGAGUUUGGAGUGGGAUUGCCUGUAUGUAAAUCCCAGCUCUGCCAUUGUAGCUGUGCAACCUUGGCCAACAAGCCUCCUACCUCCUAGUGCCUUAGUUCUCUUGACUGUAAAAUGGGGUGGCACGUGGAAUCCAUGUCGUAAAGUUGUCAGAAUUAAAGUCUUGUGUGAAUUUCCCUCUAAACAUUGUUCUUGCUGCUUCCUGCAAAUUUUAAUGUUUUAUUUCCACUUUCAUUUAGUUUAAUCUUCUCUAAAGUUUCAGGAAACUUCUUUAAUCAAUGUUCUAUUUUAAAAUGUACUGUUUAAUCUUUAUGUAUUUGGGGUUUGAGGGGUACCUUUGUGUUAUCAAUUUCUAGUUUAGUUUAAUUGCCUGAGAGCUUAUGUUGUAAGAUUUCUAUUCUUUUAAAUCUGCUGAGGCAUGUUUUAUGACCCAGAAUAUAGUCUAUCUUGGUGAAUAUUCCACCUGAGUAGAAUAGAGUAUGUUUUCUUCCAUUGUUGGAUGAAGUAUUUUAUAAAUUUUAGAUCCAUUUCAUUGACAAUGCUUUUCAGUUCAGCCAUAUUCCUAUUUGAUCAUUCAAGAAUCUUUAUCAUGUCUGAGUCUGAUGCUUACUUUGUUUCUUUAGACUGUUAUUUUUCUCAUUUUUUAGCGUAAUUUUACAUUUUUAUUGAAAGCUGGACAUGAAUCUGGUAAUGAGAACUACGGUAAAUACUAUUAUGUGCUGCAUGACAAUGUUUCUGUUAGUGAUAAUGUUAUGGCUUAGAUAUUAGUUGUCCUCCAAAAGCUCACAUGUGAGACAAUGCAAGAACAUUCAGAGGUGAAAUGAUCAGGCUACGAGAGCCUUAACCCAAUCAGUGAAUUAGUCUCCUGAUGGGAUUAACUGAGUGAGUGGUAACUGAAGGUGGAUGGGGUGUGGCUGGAGAAGGUGCUUGGUGGUGUGCUUUUGGGGUAUAUAUUUUGUAUCUAGCAAGUGGAGUCUCUCUCUCUCUCUGCUUCUUGAUUAUCAUGUGAGCUGCUUCCUUCUGUCAUAUUCUUCUGCCAUGGUGUCCUACUUCACUGUGAGUCCCAAGGAAUGAAGCUAGCUGUCUGUGGACUGAGUUCUGAAACUGUGAGCCCCCAAAUAAAUAUCCCUCCUCUAAAAUUGUUCUUGUCAGGUCUUUUAGUCAUAGUAACAAAAAAGCUAAUACAGGUAGACUGUGUAUACAAUGGUGGACUAAUUAGAUUGUAUCAUCUAGAGACAUCAUAGAUAUCUUAAUUUGUCUAAGUACUCUAUAUGUUCUCACAUAGAGUAAAAAAAUCACUGAAUUGUAUGCUUUAAAAGAAUAGAUCUUAAAAUUGUGAUCUAUAUGUGUAAUAUGAAUUGUAAUGAAUUCUGCCAUUAUAACAAAUUAAAAUAAAAAAUAGAAUUUCACGUAAAAAUAAUAGAUCUUACUUUAUGUAAUUGUUUGAAUAAAACUGUUAUAAAAAAUGAGAGGUUUGUCUUCUAUACCUUAUUGAUUGAAGAAUUCUGCCACAAAACAAAUUGCUGUUUCUGCCUUUCAUGGUGCCUCUCAAAUCUGUGUGAGUGGUUUCCCUCUUCUAUAAGUCUUAAGUUUCAUAUUUGGAUUGUUACACUAUGUCCAACUCCUUCCUGUCUCAACAAAUGACUUUUUCAAACAAAGCUGUUAGCCAGGGUUUUGCUCUUUAGGUACCCGACAGUGGUGUUUCCCCUGGCUUGUUCCCUGGUGUGAACAUUAGGAAACAGCUUUGUCUUACUAAAGUACACAUCUGGGUAGCAGAGAUACAAAGUGCCUGGGCACUGGAGCCUUUACCUUCUACUCUUGCCAGACUCAGUUAAUUUCCCAAGAGCUUCCCCUGCAUCCAGUAAUACAUUAAUGGGGUGCUCAAUGGAGGGUUAAGUUAGAUGUGUGUUCUGGGCAGGUGGGAGGCUAGACAGCAUAUUUUGAUCUGGGUAGUUUAGUGGGUGGGCCUUUGGAUAAGGUUUGUGCUGGUGCAGAUGGUGUGAAGUGACAUUGUAACACCUGGACUUCUCUGAUUCUAAGGAUACAAUUUAUGAUUCUAAUGUAUCCCCGAAUGGAACUCUCAUAGCCCCUGGGCACCCGGGUGUCAGGGUUCUUUCUAGAAUGAUUAUUUUUUGUGGCUUCUUUCUCCCUGUGCCUUCUCAGGUGGGGUUGCUGACACCCUUACCUCCAGCAUUUUAAAAUUUAAAAAGCUGGAUUUGGGAUACUUUCCUAAAAUCCAUGAGGCCCUGGAUUCAAUCCCCAGCAAUACCUCCCCGCCCCAAAAAAAAAAAAAUCAGUGUGGUUAAGAAAAUACUUGAUUGCAAAAUGAGGAUAACCAAAAACUGAAAGUACUGAAGCUUUAAUAUCAAACAGUAGCUUUUGUCAUUGGGAUCUGGAGACAAAGUAUGAAGAAAUGGAGCUCACCUUUGGAAAAGUCAAGGGUGCUCAGCAGAAGCUGUAAUCACUUGUUCCAAUUGCCAUUUCCUCAUUCUUAAGUAAAUAAAUAAAAUACUAUGAGUGAUUAAAGACAAGUUCUUUUUUUUCUUAUUUAGAUGUUGUGUUGAUCUUAAAUCAGCUCAUGCUAACUUUUGGGCUCCUGGUUUGCCAGGGUUACCUUGCCAGUGGUGAUAGCUUCUCCCCACUCCCAAUUAUUAGGUCUGUUUCUGGUUAGAGUUGGUCUAGGCUGCAGGCAGAAGAGGGAUGGGAGCUAAUGGUUUUACUAAAAAGAUCAUUGGAGCGGGAAUCCUCAAAGGAAGGCCUAGAGUGAGGGGUACCCUAGGACACAGUGGUUGCCAAGAAACAUCACAUAUGGAGCCAGAUACCCCUUCCCUGCAUGAGGAUUUCCAUAAGUGAAACUAGGAACCAGGGCUUCUGUGUUCCUUCUGCUUGAUCUUGCUAUUAUUUGUGAUGGUGCUGUAGGCUCCUGGGAUCCCUGACUGUGGCUCCUAAACUAUAAUGCCUCCUGUCCUAUGCAGAAACAUCUAAAAAGAGAAUUUCUCAGACUAGGUUGCUUUUGUUGGAAAGUGAUGAUUGGGUACUAAGCACUCAUUCAAUCCCACCAGCCUGCUUUCUUCCCCAGGGAGCACCUUUGCAUUUCUCCAUAGGUGGAAACUUUCUCAUUUUCCCCAGACCAGCUCCCAUCCUGCGCAAAUGUCACCUCCGCUGGGAAGUCUUACUACAUUGGGAGUUUGAUGUUCAGGUUCUUUCUAUCCUUAGCUGUGGGACUGAAUGAGUGCUUACUCAUUCAGUAACUCCAGGCAAACUCUCCCGUUGCUCUCAUUUUCAGUGUCCUCAUCUCCAGUGAAAGUGGGAAAUGGAAAGAGCAUUUCUGAGGCCUCUAGGACCCUGGGCAACCUUCCCUCCACAUUGCCUCCCCCCCUAUGCAGCUCUGAUCUUACAUUGCUCUGAUCUUCAGUGUCUUCAUCUCUGAAACACACUUAUCAUGCCCUGCCUGCCUGCCUUGUAGGGCUGUCAUGAGGCCCAAUUUUAGAACCUCUCUGAAACUGUACUGUGCUGCACAGUUGGGAAAGGGAUAGGCAGGAUGAUUUCUUUGUUCUUGGGUGUGUGAUUGGGGAGUAUAUUGGGUGGUCCUGAGAACUAUAGUGUUUCUGCUCAUUUUUCUCACUGUAGGCUGUUUUAUGGGCAACAACAUAGUGCUGGAUGUGUUGCAUUGCAAAGGCCGUGAGAACAUGCCCAGGCUAGAUGUCCCAUCAACAAUUGGUUGUAUCUGGGUAGACAGCAGCAAGGGGACUGGCUGCCUGGGCACCAGGGUGGCUGUUAUCUUCAGAGGCUCCAGAGGACCACAGCAUGGUCAUUUCCUUGGGGCCCAGGAGAAUAGUCAUUAGAUGGACACUGAUGGACAUUAGAUGGCUGGGGUUGUAUCAGACGUGGGUGACUGGGUGGGUACUUGGGACUGCUGAGGGUGCUGUGAACUCUUUCUUAGCAGCAUUUAGGGGGAAGGGAACGUGGAGGGAAGGUUGCCCAGGGUCCUGGAGGCCUCAGGGAUUAAUGCUCUUUCCAUUUCCCAUUUUCCACAAGACACUUGGCUUCUUCCAGAAAAAACUCCUUGGGAUUUGUUGUUCUCCAUUACCAUGGCCAUGGCUCAUUCCAGGCGUUUCUCUUUCUGAUUCAUUCUUUACCAUUCUGUGGGACUAAUCUUUCAAGUAUCCUCUACUCAGAACCUUCCAAGAUUACUUGUUCUCUUUAAAAGUCCAGUGUUUUGGCAUUCAAAUCUCUUUUCUAGGAUUACCACUUGCAUCAGAAAAUCUUCUAUUCCUGCUAUGUUACUGCCUUUGCUACUGCUGCUUUCCCUGACUAAAGUGCCAUCCCUCCCUGAGUCAGCUCUACUGUCUGCCCAGCCACUCUCCUGCCUGUUCUUUUCUCAGAUCUGGAGGGAAAGCCCUGCCAUGAGUGGUUCUCUGCUUGGGGCAGGGAGAUUGUGGGUCUCCAUCUGUUGGAUUGACUUCCAGGAAAGCUGGGGUGCUGACUGAGCUGGGGCUUGACAGCUAUCCCUUCGGGGUACUAGAGAGGACUUGCUCGGGGAGUGUGUGUGUGGUGUGCAUGUGUGGUCUGUUGUGUGAUGGAUAGUAUGUGUGGAGUGCACAUAUGUGGUGUACAUGGUGUGUAUGUGUGUGUGUGUGUGUGUGUUCUGUGUCUUGUUAGUUGUCUAAUUCUGCCUCUAACCCUGAUAUCAGCCCCUGGUGAAAGGAAGGUGAGGAAACAGUAUUUAUUUAUUAAUAGAUUCUGUUUUGGUGCAGUCACUCUGGAAAGCAGUAUGUAUAUUUCUCAGAAAACUUGGAAUGCAACUACCAUUUGACCCAGCUAUUUUAGUUAUAUUUGACAGCAGAAUAUAUUUUGAUAUAAUUAUAUAAUCAUGGAAUGUAUUUUAUUCAAGUUAGGAUUCCAUCGUUAUGGAUGUACAUGAUGGUGUGAUGGUGGGAUUCACUGUGUUGUUUUCAUAUAUGUACGUGGGAAAAUUAUGUAAGAUCCAUUCCACUGUCUUUUCUUUUCCUAUCCCCCCUUCCUUCUUUCAUUUCCCCAUUGUCUAAUCUACUGCACUUCUAUUCUUCCCCUCACCCACCCAUAUUUUGUGUUAUCUUCCACAUAUCAAAGAAAGCAUUCAACCUUUGAUUUUUGGGGGAUUGGCUUAUUUCAGUUAGCAUGAUAGUCUCUAUAUCCAUCUACUUGCUGACAAAUAUAAUAAGGUCAUUCUUCUUUAUGGCCAAGUAAUACUCCAGUGUGUGUGUGUGUGUGUGUGUGUGUGUGUGAAUCACAUUUUCUUUAUCCAAUCACUUAUUGAAGGGAACUUAUUGGUUUCAUAGUUUAGCUAUUGUGAAUUGAGCUGCUAUAAACAUUGAUAUGAUCCUGUCACUGUAGAAUGCUGAUUUUUAAAUGUUUUGGAUAUACUCCAAGGAGUGGGAUAGCUGGGUCAAAUGGUGGUUCCAUUCCAAGUUUUCUGAGGAAUCUACAUACUGCUUUCCAGAGUGACUGCACCAAUUUGCAGUCCCACCAACAAUGUAUGAUGUACCUUUUUCCGCACAUCUCACCAACAUUUAUUGUUACUUAUAUUCUUGAUGAUUGCCAUUCUGACUGAAGCAAGAAUCUCAAUGUAGUUUUGAUUUGCAUUUCUCUAAUUGCUAGAGAUGUUGAACAUUUUUUUCACAUAUUUGUUGACUAAUUAUAUUUCUUCUUCUGUGAAGUGUCUGUCGCAGUAGAAUGAAAUUUAGCUCCUGUUUUCACCCUGCACAAAACUCUGCUCAAAGUGGAUCAAGGACCUAGGUAUUAGACCAGAAACCCUGUAUAUACAAGAAGAAAAUGUAGGCCCAACACUCUAACAUAUCAUCUCAGGAACUGAUUUCCUUAAUAAGACUCCUAAAGUGCAAGAAGUAAAAUCAAGAAUCAAUAAAUGGGCAAUAAAUGGAUGGCAUCAAACUAAAAGCUGCUUCACAGCAGAGGAACAAACAAAAGUGUGAAGAGCCUACACAAUAGGAGAAAAUCUUUGCCACCUGCUCCUCACAUAGAGCAUUAGUUUCAGGGAUAAAGAACUAAAAAACUUAACACCAAAAUAAACAAACAACCCCACAAAUAACCCAACCAAUAAAUGGGCAAAGGAACUGAACAGACACUUCACAGAAUGAAACUAUUUAAAAAAGUUCUCCAGGAGAUUGUGAUGCACAGAGAGGGCUGGGAAUCUGUUCUCUCAUCAAGCUGAGAUGCUCACAUUUUUCAGUAGAGAAAAAGAACAUUUAUUGAUGGAUUAUCAGGUGGUAGUCAGGUUCUUGUAGACUCUUGCUUAAUUUUCAAAACCAGCUGCUAGGUGGAAAUUUCUAUUUAAUGACGAAAACACUGUGAAAGGUCACACAGCUAGUCAGAGCCAGGAUAGAAGUCAGACCCCUUCACCUCCAAAACCCUCUCUUUUUGCCCUUUCUCCCAUCUUUUAGUUUCCAGCCUUUUCACCAUUGUUCAUGUAUUUUCCUCUGCUAGGGAUUCAUUCACUAUCUCCAAUCCCAGUUCUUGCUAUUGGAAUCUGUGACUUCAGCGUAUACACCACAUCCUCUGCUCCUACAGCCUGGGGUCACCCUCUUCAUGAUCCUAAGUUAUUUGGUUUGUGCUUCUGUAUGGCUUUGAGUAAGAGCUCUCUUUUUCUUCUAGAGCCUUCAGGAUAAGUAUCUAUUUUUUUUCCCAAAACUAAGUUCUCAAAAGUCUCUAUCCUGGCACUUGGCAUAAAGUAGGUCUCAACUAGAGUUGGUUGAUUUGUAAAUAUUAUUAUUAUUGUGAUAACCCAUGGGCACUCAUUUAGCCAGUGGCGGUAUAUGAGAGAUUUUAGUGAUCAACUUGAUAAUUGUGGUCCUUUGAGGCAAAGGUGGAUAAAAUCUCCAAAGGAGCAUCAGAGAGAAGGGGCCAAUGGGGAAGGGUUAAGGGCCAGAGUAGAAAAACUGUGUGCUUAGCACUGAUUGAAACAUAGUGCAUAGGUUGUCUGAUCCUCACAGGUGAGAUAGGUCAACUUUACCCAAGUGUCAGAAACUCAGAAAGGUUAAUAGUCUCAUCCAAAGCUCCAAGCCUGGGCUUUUUUCUAGAUACCACAUUCUUUAAAUUCUCCAAAUCUUGGAGAGCCUUGGGUAGGGCACCCUCCCUCUGCAGGCCCAGUUUCUUUGUUGCUACAAUGAAGGAUUCAUCUAAAUGGUGUCGCAGUGUGUGCCAGGCAUUAUGCUAAGGAGAGUAAUGACUAUAAUAGUUCAUGUCCUCUAGAAACCUUCUAGCUGUGACUUUAUGUUUAUGAGGUCCUCAGUCUCAGAAUCAGAGUAAGAGUAGUGGCCUUUUGUUUUCUUUCUCUUCCAUUUGAGGAAUUACUUUUUUUUUUUUUUUUUUUUUACCUUGUAUAGGUCUUUCCCUUGUUUACUUCUCUUAUACCUCUUCCCUUUUUCACACAAUUAAUAGAUUAAUAGUAACUGACCUGUGAGGUUCUGCCAGGUUGUUAGUCAGAGCUGAGGCCAGCUUCUGGCAGGCAGACAUUUCAUCAAGGUUGAAUCAAGAGCAGAGUAAAUGAUUUCUUAUAUGCUGGUUGUCUGCACCCACAUCACUGGGGAAGGAAAGUCCCCCUGCUCCCCUUUUAGGCAGAUAGAUGUGAGCAUAAAAUCCCUCAUGGCCUACAUCAGGAGAUAAUGAGUAGAAUUCUUCUCUUAUGGCACUCUUCUUCUAUCCCCCAACUAAAUCCUUGAUAAAAGUCCUACUGUAGGAAGAAACUUGGCCCUUCUGAUGGCUUAAUUUUUUUCACUGAAAGUGGUGUUUGAGGACUAUAAUUACCUUUAGGGGAAAACUAGAAGCAAGUCUGAGUUUCCCAUAAGUUGUAAAAAUAUAUGUUACCUUUGGGAGAGAUGGUUUAAAGGCAGACCUGGUGAGAAGUGUUAGAGGCCAGCCCUAUGAGCCAGCACAUCAUAUGAGGAUCGGGUAGCCACCAAGGGACAGAGAACCUAUUUCUAUUCCAAUAUAACCUCUCAAAAGAAUACAAGAGGGUUAAGGGUCACUUUUUUUUAAAAGCAAAUGGCACUUAAACAGUUUAUCUUUAAAUGCUAUAAUCUUCAUUGACUUUCUAGACAGUACUUACGUAUUCAUGGUUGGGAAAGUGCAGUAAUUAUAUACAGUAAAAAAAAAAAAAAUCUUUGGGUUUUCUCCCAAAGGACAGGAGAUUUUGAGAGAACAGGGUGAGGAUAUGUGGAGGGGAAAUAAAGGUGUCAAAAUGACCAAUUUUCCAGGUGGCUUUGUGAACAAGGUGUUCUUGGCAGGAUCAUGAGGUCCUGAGCCACAGGAGCAGGAAGGACCAUGCUAUACAGCCCUCCCCUUCCACCCUAGUUUACAUAGAGGAGUAAGAGCCCAUCUCACACUGGCUCCAUUGGACAUCUUUGCCUUGGAAGUGCCAGUCUUGGCAGCACUGGCACUGGAAGCCCUGUCUGUGACUCGCUGCCCCAUGAGCCCUUGCCUGAAAGUGCCAACCAACUAGACUAGUCGGGACAAAAGUUCAGGAAGAAGCGGAGGUGCCUGGUACUGAGGCAGUGGUUCAACCUGUGGGUCUUCCUGGAAGAGAGGUGAGACAGAUGGGCAGAGCCUUGCUGGCAUCUCUCCUUCCCCUGAAAUAUGGGUGGUGAGCAGACCCAGGUGACUCUUAAACUGAGAGGGCUGGGAAUUGCCCAAUCAGGGAGCAGCCUUUCCCAGUCAUUUCUCUUCUGCCUGUGCUAUGAUGUGAAUCCAGAUUUAAGGUUGCUGCUUCAAGCCAAGGCAAGGGCCACAUGUUUAUGUUUGUGAAAGAACAAAUGUGGGGGCUGGGGUUGUGGCUCAGUGGUAGAGUGCUCGCCCAGCAUGUGCGAGGCACUGGGUUCAAUUUUUAGCACCACAUAUAAAUAAAUAAAUAAAAUAAAGGUCCAUCGACAUCUUAAAAAAAAAACAACAACAACAAAUGUGGGGGUAAAGGUAGAUCUUUUUUAAAGUAGAAUGAAGGUUGUGAAGAAUUUAAUUUUCCAGCCCUUUCUCCUAGCAGAUCUGGGAGAAUUUUGUAGUUUUGCAGAGCUAGAAUCAACUCUGUAGGAAAGGGCUUGUUUUCUGAGAGUGGUUAAACACAAGAUGCCCUCUGAGGGCUAAUGUGUGGAUCAGAGUUGGAUAGAAAAUUGUGGUUCUGCAGGGCAUAAAGCUUAUAGAAAGGCUGGGAUCCACAAUCCAGUUAAAAUAAACCCAAGCUCAUUGAGUUCCUCCUAAGUCUGCUGUUGUAGUGGUGCUAUUUGUCGGGUGAAACACAUAGACAUUGAUCUCUGCCUUCAAGGAGCUCACAGUAUGCACAUGAAGCUAGAUUUUGAGUAAAUGAUCUGCAAAGAAAGUGUAGGUGCUGUGGGCGUGUGUGUACUGUGUAUAUGAGUGGGGAGUGUGACCAGGAGGAGCCUGCCUGAAAUAAUCCUUGAAUCAAGAGUCAAAUGGUGUGUAUAUAGUGUGGGGGUAAUUGGCAAGACUGCUAAAGUCCUCUGUCACUUGGUUUUCUGGGAGUAGUGGCCAAAGUCACAAAAUAGGGCCAAAGAUAUAGGCAGCCUGUCCAUAUACUAAUAUCUAUUCCUGCCUUUAAAGGGGGGAAAUGAAAAACCCAGGGGAUGUUUGGGGGAAUUGGAGUAUAUAUUAGGCUUUUGCUGUGCCCUGAGAUUCUGUAUUUCUCUUGAAUUCCUAGUGCUAUGGCCCCACAACUCCAGGUCCCUGUCCUGGACAGGCAUAUCUCUGCUGAAUUGUGGCUCCCUCACCACAGACAUUCCCACCACAGCCAGAUGGUGGCCAGUACCACCUGCCUGUCUCUCUGGACUUCUGUGUUCUUGGGACUGGUGGUUGCUUUCCCAACAGAGACAUCCCUCUUGUAGCAACUGGAGGAGCCAGGCCAAGACCUUACUUAAAGGAUUGCCAUUCCCGCAUUCCACACUUUGGUCUGGUCUUGAUAAGCCCAACCCAGGAGAGAAGACAUCUGAAGAAGAAGCCCAGUGGUGAUUCUUCUCUUCCUAACAAAUGACCUGGGUUAUCCAACAGUGUUGGGAGGAGAUGUACAGUUUUGUAACAUAAUGAGUUGGAUGAAAAUAAAUUGUAAAUGAAUGGUAUGAAAUAACUAAAUACUGGUUUUG